GCACUCCCUCCAGCGCCGGCGGCCGGGCCGGGAGGGUACGGGGGCUUCGGCGCCGUCGGGGCAGAGCCCGCGGGGUUGUGGGGGGAGGCUGUGCACCCCGUGCCUCGCUCGCUCUCCCUGACUCCCCUUCUCUCGCCGUGCAGCUGCGGCGCCGAGGGGUCGGUGCUGGGUGCACAGUCUCCAUCACUCACCGUCGAGGCUCGGGGGAAUGAUGAAAACAUACCAGUUGUGCAGGAGGAAUGACUUUGCCCGGCCCUGAGCCACAGCAGAUGUUUCUCUUGGGUCCUCAUAAAGGAGACACUGUGAUGUCGUGAACAGCAUCCCCAGCAGUUUGCCUACCACGAAGACAAUGGUGGAGAGUAAAUUCAGGAAAUUCAUCUUGGUUGACAACAAAAGUCCACUACAUGUAUUUGGAAUAAAUGAAUGAGCUUCUCCUUGGCGUCCAGCCUGAGGUUAAACCUUUCGCUGUGAAGGUGUCCCUUGCCAUGUGGAUGUGCUACAGUGGUGAACACAUGUGUGUGCAAAUUUUCUAUCCACCGAUGGUGCACAUUUCUUACAGUACUAAAAACUGGUCCUUCAGAAGACCUUUAUAAAUGUGUAUUUCUGUAAGUGCUAUUUUGUAGCAGGGAAACUUUGGGUUGCUUUAUGGCAGAGAAAUGAAUCAGCCUAUAAAUUACGUUAACUAAAUUCCUGUUGUGUUAGUCUGCCCACCUAUCCACUUUUAUACCUGAGACCUUGAAAAUUUUCUUAGUUAUUUGCAAGUACUGUGUAGGGAGUUAAAUAUACUAUGAGUAUUUGGUAAGUGUGAGUUGACCCACUUUAUGGCUAAAAAGAGAAAACGGGUGCCUGGGUGGCUCAGUCGGUUAAGCGUCUGGCUUCAGCUCAGGUCAUGAUCUCGCAGUCUGUGAGUUCAAGCCCCGCGUUGGGUUCUGUGCCGACCGCUCGGAGCCUGGAGCCUGCUUCGGAUUCUGGGUCUCCCUCUCUCUCCGCCCCUUCUCUGCUCAUCCUCUGUCUCUCCCAAAAAUAAAAAUAAAACAUUAAAAAAAAUUAAAUAAAAAUUAAAAAAAAA